ensembl:lncRNA
AAGUCGUGUAAGGUUUACGUGGAAACUGGGGUCAUGGCUGCUCCCGGCCCAGCGCUCUGCCUCUUCGACGUGGACGGGGCUCUGACCGCUCCCAGGCAGAAAAUUACCGAAGACAUGGAUUGCUUUCUACAAGAACUGAGGCAGAAGAUCAAAAUUGGCGUCGUGGGCGGGUCGGACUUUGAGAAAGUACAAGAGCAACUGGGAAACGACGUGGUUGAAAAAUACGAUUACGUGUUUCCAGAAAAUGGCUUGGUAGCAUACAAAGAUGGGAAACUCGUGUCUAAACAGAAUAUUCAAGGUCACCUGGGUGAGGCCCUGAUUCAAGAUUUAAUCAACUACUGUCUGAGCUACAUUGCGAAAAUUAAGCUCCCAAAGAAGAGGGGUACCUUCAUUGAAUUCCGAAACGGGAUGUUGAACGUGUCUCCCAUCGGAAGGAGCUGCAGCCAAGAAGAACGCAUUGAGUUCUACGAACUUGACAAAAAAGAAAAUAUCAGACAAAAAUUCGUGGAGGAUCUGCGGCAAGAGUUUGCAGGGAAAGGCCUCACAUUUUCCAUAGGAGGCCAGAUCAGCUUUGAUGUCUUCCCCGACGGCUGGGACAAGAGGUACUGCCUGGGGCACGUGGAGAAGGACGGCUAUAAGACCAUUUAUUUCUUUGGAGACAAAACUAUGCCUGUGUAAUUACAUGUUCCGACGCUAAACUGCAGGUCAGGGGAAGGUGAAAGACGCCAUCUCGGUGACGCCCGGCUGUGUCCUCCCUCUGCUGCAAGCUCAGGGAGGGUAAGCCCUGCCCAGCACACGCACAGGGUCCCUGUUGUGCUGGGCCCCCAGNNNNNNNNNNNNNNNNNNNGGCCAUGCUGGAGGGGGGCCACCCCCCCCCCAAACCGUGCCGGCCUGCAAGCCCUCACUGCAGCCCCUGCUCUUCCUGAGCAGAAGGGAGAAGGAAAGCCUUGUCUAAACUCAAAAUAGAUUAAAGACUGAAGUGUGAGACCUGCAGCCACGUAACUCCCGGGAGAAAGGCGCGGCGGCACCGUCUCUGACAUCCCCUGAGCAAUGACCUCUCUGGACCUGUCUCCCGCGGCAUGGGGAACAAAGGCCAGAAUAAACAAGUGGCACUGCAUCCAACUGAAACUCUUCUGCACAGCAAAGGAAACCAUCAACAAAAUGGAAAGGCGACAUGCUGAAUGGGAGAAGGUACGGGCAGGUCGCAAAGCCGACAAGGAGUUCGUAUCCGCAAAAGACAGAGGAGGAUGCAGACAACCCACUAUCAGAAAAAGCAGCCCAAGUAAAAGAUGGGCACAGGACCUCACAGGUACUUCUCCAAGGAAGACGUACACAUGGCCGGCAGGUAGACAGCGGCCUCAGGGAAGCGAGCGUCAGAACCACGGCAAGGGAGCGCCUCGCACCUGUCCGAACGGCAGUCGCCACCAAGACGUCCAGCGACAAGAACUGGCAACGCUGUGGGGCGGCCCCUGCCUCCCCCGCUGAGGCGAAGCGAGCCCAGUACUGCCACUGCGGACCCUGCGUGGAGGUUCUUCAGAACAGUGGGCAUGAAACCACGGUACAGUCCAGGAAGAAGGAAAAACGCUUGUCAGGAGGGGUUCACGGGACCACCUCCACCAAGGGGUGUUUUGUGCCACCCAGCCCAGCCCUGGUCGGGGCACUCCGUCUACCCGGGGCGCAUGGUUUGCCAUCAUCCUACUGCAGACAGAACGCUGGGGCCCUCCCUGCUCCUGGGUCUUGCGGACAAUGUAACCACAUCCCCAACGGGACCCCCGGCAUCGCUACCAGAAAGGGGGCUUUGGUGAUGAGAAAGGACAGGACGCUUCACGACCUCCAACCCCAGGGCAGACGGUUCAAAACUUGUGGAAGUGAAGGAGUGCGGCAUUGCACCGGCCUGUGGUCAUCAGACGGACUCAGCCGAAUGACCGUGCCGCCUGCACGUGGCAGCAGCUGGCCGAGUGACCACCGCCCCAAGGACUUUGCACCCCACGGGCCCAGGAUGCAGGGGAGCCCUAUGUCCACCACACUGUGAAGAGCCCCAAGGGGUGGGUGGUAAGGGACCCAGCGUUCCUCCCCUGCCCAAGCCCGGGGUAGCACUGGGGGCAGCACACUACACCCCAGAAGCAGUUCCCAGGGCUGUUCGCCCUCCUUCUCAGGGAUCAGGAAAGGGCCUGAACUCCUCACAGACCAGGGGCUGCACUGUUUCUCUGCUGAUCUCUGAGCACAUCCACCCAGGCCUCCCUCACCCAGCCUUUGACCUGAGGGCUGGAAGCAGCCGGGUUGGACCUGCAGCUCUCCCUCUGCCCCCCGUGCGGUCCUCACGAAAGUGGAAGGCAGCCCUGGUCCAGAGCAGAGCCUUCCAAGAAAACGGUUCACAUGUCACUUCUCAGCAUCUGGAAACGUUGGGACCCACAGUCCUGCCACAGGCUGGUGCUGGGCCUCUGCUGGGGGCUGGCGGACCCGAAACCCAAUGGGGGGGCUCUGAUUACCCCACCUCCCCACCCCCUUCAUCACGGAGGAGCCUGUUCCCCACGCCUCCCCCGGCCCUGCCGGGCGUCCCUCAGGAUCAGCACAGGUGACAGCAAGAAGCAGGCUGUGAGGUCAGCCCCCGCGCCCUCCUCCCACCCCCUGACCACACACAGGGGAGAGGUUUCCCAGUGGCUCCCGGGACCCCCAUCCAGUGGCAUCUUUUCCUGGUUGAAUUUUACAAAUGAUACUGUAAUGACCUUCCAAAAUGACAAGGAGCAAAUUAAAGUGAUUCUGAGGUUUCCUGU